AAAUGUAUCACUGAGCAGGAGAAUGCUCAUGUUUUCACUAUGGCUGGGAAGGGUACCCUGGAAAUAUGGAAGUUCAGUUAGAACCUCUCAUGGGAUUUUUUUUUAGUUUAAAAGUUGGCUACUUUCUAUCACCAAGAUCAGAAACACUGGCCUAAUCAGUAACCGAGGACAUUUUGAAACAUCCUAAUAUUUAAAAGGAAAUUAAAAAAUCUCUGCAGAUUCAAUUUGGCAUCAAAUAACAGUCCAUUCUUCUCUGCCACCCUGGCCACUGGGAGCUGAUGAGGAGAAAGAUAUAGCACCUUAGCUACAGAGAAGAAAGAAGUGCUUUCAGGAUCGCUCUGAAGACAGAAGGGUAGAAGUCUAGAAGGAAGGCAUCGGCCCACUGUACUCCACUGUUCUUAAGCUCGGGUUCAACAAACCUCCAGGGACACAGGCCUAAUGCAUCCUCCUAGUGAACCGUCAAGUCUGCAUUUAUUAUGGCUCCCUCUUUCAUAUGUGUGUCUGAAUCUGUGAUUGGAUGAAGAAAAGCCUUCAGGGGAAAUGGAGCUCCCAAGAAAUGGUUUUGGAUGAUGAAACAGAGGCUCAAAAAUGGAGAGAUGUCAUGUUUGCCCACGGUUCCCCUGCUGG